AAUGCCAUGACUGUGGUGCAGCUUCCUGACCUACUUGUUACUCAGCGAGAGAGAACAGUGGUGAGUCAGGAGCAGAAGCUGGCAGCAUGGUGCUCUGCUGCACUCAAAACCGCUUUGUUUUCAAAAAGGCUACCCCCUUUUUAAGCCUUUUCCCUGAGUUUCCUUGGCAAUUUCUGAUCUUAUUUCUUCCAAAAUAAUGUGGCUUUCUGAAUUUUUUUUUUAAUUUAACCGUGAGAUUCAUCCAAAGUAUUGUAUAUAUCAAGAGUGGUUCCUGUUUAUUUCUGAAUCAUAUUGAAUUGUACAGAUGAAUCACAAUUUAUUCUUCUGUUGAGGCAUAUUUGAAUUGUUUCUAGUUUUUGAUUAUUAGUAGUAAUUGCUAAGAACAUUUCUAUACAGAUUUUUUUGGGGGGUGGUACCAGGAUUGAACUAAGAGGCAGUUGGCCGCUGAUUCACAUCAUAUCCCUACUUUUUGUAUUUUAUCUAGAGAUGGUCUCACUGAGUUAGUUGCUUAGCGCCUCGAUUUUGCUGAAGCUGGCUUAGAACUUGCGAUCCUCCUCCUGUCUCAACCUCCCGAGCUGCUGGGAUUACACGUUCGCCAUCACACUCAGCUAGGAAUGUGAUUGUUGUAUUUUAUAGUAAGAAUGUUUAAAAAGGUAUGUUUAUAGUAAGUAUAUAAAUAUGUUUAUAGUAAGUACAGUAAGUAUGUUUUUUAAAGUCAGCCCAACUGUUUUCCAAAGUGUAUUAUGUCAUGCUUUCCCACCAGCAAUGUAUGAGAACUUUGGUGACUACAUUCUCACCAGCGCUUUGUAUUGUCAAGUUGUUUUUUUUUUUUUAAAGACUGACUUAACAGGUAUCUUUUUGUGAUUUUAAUAUGCAUUUUCCUAAUGACCAAUAAUACUGGGUAUCUUUUUAUAUACUUUUUUUGUUACCUGUAUAUUUUUGGUAAAAUGGCUGUUCAAAUCUUUUGUCUAUUUUAAAAAAUUGGUUUGUGUCUUAGUUUGAGCUACUAUAAUUACCUUGGGCUGGGUGGUUUAAACAACAGAAACUUAACUUUUCACAGCUUUAGAGGCUAGAAAGUCCAAGAUGAGGUAUCAGCAUAGUCAGGUUCUGGGUGAGUCCUCUUCCUUCUGGGUUUUCAUAUGGCAGAGAACCAAGUGCACUAAUUCCUUCAUGAGAUUCUACCUUUUUGCUUUAAAACCUCCCAAAUGGUUACUUACUACCACUUUAGCAUUAAGGUUUCAAAUAUGAAUUUGGUAGGAACCUAAACAGUUCAUAGCAGGUUUUUAUUUUCUUGUGAUGUUUAUUUAUUCAUUUAUUUGGUGCUGGG
rnacentral:lncRNA from 1 species